UAAGCCCUGCGAUGUCCGUGAUAUCUGAUCGUUUUGAGCCACAAAGUUUGACUUGGGAGUUGUUCGUCCCAACUGUUAAGGCAUGCCACCCACGAGUGGACGUCUGGUACAGUUGGGCAGACACCCACCUGCGAUGAGCAGGUUCAAAACGUAGGAGUACACGACAUAAUGGGGCUCCU
rnacentral:other from 1 species